rnacentral:rRNA from 1 species
UGGGGAAUUUUGGACAAUGGGGGCAACCCUGAUCCAGCCAUCCCGCGUGUGCGAUGAAGGCCUUCGGGUUGUAAAGCACUUUUGGCAGGGAAGAAACAGCCUGGGCUAAUAUCCCGGGCGACUGACGGUACCUGCAGAAUAAGCACCGGCUAACUACGUGCCAGCAGCCGCGGUAAUACGUAGGGUGCAAGCGUUAAUCGGAAUUACUGGGCGUAAAGCGUGCGCAGGCGGUUCGGAAAGAAAGGUGUGAAAUCCCAGGGCUUAACCUUGGAACUGCACUUUUAACUACCGGGCUAGAGUACGUCAGAGGGGGGUAGAAUUCCACGUGUAGCAGUGGAAUGCGUAGAGAUGUGGAGGAAUACCGAUGGCGAAGGCAGCCCCCUGGGAUGAUACUGACGCUCAUGCACGAAAGCGUGGGGAGCAAAC